rnacentral:tRNA from 1 species
GCGUUGGUAGUUUAGUGGUAAAACACAUCGACUCUGAUCCAGAUGUUGGUGAGGCCAUCCCAAAGGGGAAUCGGCACGCCCCUGUAAAGAGUACGGGUCGGACGCGGAACUCUGAGGGUUCGAUGAGCCCUGGGUUCAACUCCCAGCCAAUGUU